rnacentral:siRNA from 1 species
UCUGAGGUGUAUUGCAAGUG